CGCGGCCUAUCAGCUUGUUGGUGAGGUAAUGGCUCACCAAGGCGACGACGGGUAGCCGGCCUGAGAGGGUGACCGGCCACAUUGGGACUGAGACACGGCCCAGACUCCUACGGGAGGCAGCAGUGGGGAAUAUUGCACAAUGGGCGCAAGCCUGGUGCAGCAACGCCGCGUGAGGGACGACGGCCUUCGGGUUGUAAACCUCUUUUAGUAGGGAAGAAGCGAAAGUGACGGUACCUGCAGAAAAAGCACCGGCUAACUACGUGCCAGCAGCCGCGGUAAUACGUAGGGUGCAAGCGUUGUCCGGAAUUAUUGGGCGUAAAGAGCUCGUAGGCGGUUUGUCGCGUCUGCUGUGAAAACCCGAGGCUCAACCUCGGGCCUGCAGUGGGUACGGGCAGACUAGAGUGCGGUAGGGGAGAUUGGAAUUCCUGGUGUAGCGGUGGAAUGCGCAGAUAUCAGGAGGAACACCAAUGGCGAAGGCAGAUCUCUGGGCCGUAACUGACGCUGAGGAGCGAAAGCAUGGGGAGCGAACAGGAUUAGAUACCCUGGUAGUCCAUGCCGUAAACGUUGGGAACUAGAUGUGGGGACCAUUCCACGGUCUCCGUGUCGCAGCUAACGCAUUAAGUUCCCCGCCUGGGGAGUACGG
rnacentral:rRNA from 1 species